UGGGUAACCUGCCCCAAUGAUUGGGACAACCCCGGGAAACCGGGGCUAAUACCAAAUGUGCUCACGUCCCUUGAGGGAUGUGAGGAAAGGAAGCUUCGGCCUCCGCAUUGGGAUGGGCCCGCGGCGCAUUAGCUUGUUGGUGGGGUAAAGGCCUACCAAGGCUUCGAUGCGUAGCUGGUCUGAGAGGGUGACCGGCCACACUGGGACUGAGACACGGCCCAGACUCCUACGGGAGGCAG
rnacentral:rRNA from 1 species